UACGUAGGGGGCUAGCGUUGUCCGGAAUCAUUGGGCGUAAAGCGCGUGUAGGCGGCCCGAUAAGUCCGCUGUGAAAGUCCAGGGCUCAACCCUGGGAUGCCGGUGGAUACUGUCGGGCUCGAGUCCGGAAGAGGCGAGUGGAAUUCCUGGUGUAGCGGUGAAAUGCGCAGAUAUCAGGAGGAACACCAAUGGCGAAGGCAGCUCGCUGGGACGUGACUGACGCUGAGGCGCGAAGGCCAGGGGAGCAAACGGG
rnacentral:rRNA from 1 species